rnacentral:rRNA from 1 species
UGGGGAAUCUUGCGCAAUGCGCGAAAGCGUGACGCAGCAACGCCGCGUGGAGGAAGACGGCCUUCGGGUUGUAAACUCCUUUCAGUUGGGACGAAGCUUCACUGGUUAAGAGCUGGUUGGAGUGACGGUACCUUUAGAAGAAGCCCCGGCUAACUACGUGCCAGCAGCCGCGGUAAUACGUAGGGGGCAAGCGUUGUCCGGAAUCAUUGGGCGUAAAGCGAGUGUAGGCGGCCUUGUAAGUCCGUUCUGAAAGUCCGGGGCUCAACCCCGGGAGGCGGAUGGAUACUGCAGGGCUCGAGUACGGAAGAGGCGAGUGGAAUUCCCGGUGUAGCGGUGAAAUGCGCAGAUAUCGGGAGGAACACCAAUGGCGAAGGCAGCUCGCUGGGACGUUACUGACGCUGAGACGCGAAAGCGUGGGGAGCAAACAGGAUUAGAUACCCUGGUAGUCCACGCCGUAAACGAUGGAUACUAGGUGUGGGAGGUGUCGACUCCUCCCGUGCCGAAGCUAACGCAUUAAGUAUCCCGCCUGGGGAGUACGGCCGCAAGGCUAA